GGCCGGGUAGCAAAGUGGCUAUGCAGCGGACUGCAACUCCGUAUACGCCGGUUCGAUUCCGGCCUCGGCCU
rnacentral:tRNA from 1 species